AUAGAUCCUUUGGGCAAAUACUGAGUCUCCUUCCUAAUGGUAGAAAGUCAGAGGAUGCUGGAUGGACGGGUGGGAUCCUUGAUAAUACUAACGGCCCUGCGUACGCAGCACUCCUGAUAAAUUUGCUGGAGACAUCUCAUGUCACUACACAAUCCACCGCCAACGUAGCAUGUCUGCCAUGUUGACAGAGCAACAGCAAGAAAUCAACAACAGCAA